CAUUGUGUGCCUAUGGCAGUAGA
rnacentral:piRNA from 1 species